GUAAUGUACAGCACUAAGGUAUUUUACCAUUAUUUACCCCAUUCAUACAGGUAAUCUUACGGUAAGUACUUUGUUCCAGGGUACUACAGCCAGGGGUGAGAUUCAAACCUGCAUCCUUUGGAGCCAAAGGCAGCAGCUCGAACCACUACACCAACAGCUGGAUUUGUACAACGGGGUAAAUCAGUGUAAACACCUUAACCGAGGGUACAGCGACCCAAGGGCUCAAACCGCUACGCCACCUGCUGGGCCUGCAUGCAAGGGAUCUCUGCUGGUUCCCAGAGACACGGGGCCGCGGCCCACGGGUCCUGAGACGGACGGAGGACAAAGAGACACGUGACCCCGGCCUGUGCUGAGACCCGUGACCCGGGUCAUCCCGCCGCAGCGUCGGGAAGAACCCAGAGCGAGCAAAGUGCCGAAGGAGGAGGCGGCUUCCGCGCGCUGCCGCUCUGCGUUGGUUCGGCGAGACGCCGCCGGUUGCGCGAGACGUGACGCUCGUCCCUCUUGCUGUGACCCAGUAACGAGGGUCCCGUCAACAGGAGCCCAUUGUUCUCCCUUCACCUUCAUUCGUUCCGUUUAUUUAUUACUUUUUUUGCUCACAGAUUGCGGCUUGUGCAGAGCUGCCAGAUUCAUUGUGAAAUAAUUAAUAUUUGGCAGAUGGUUCCCUUCGAAGGAGAGCGCCCACACACACACACACACACACACACUACAGCCUAGUUAGGGUAACAUCAACAUUUUUACUCCAGUAACUUUUAGAAGCAGUCAGCUUUCACAAAGGGGUAAGAGCAGGUUACGGUGGGAACUUGAACCCCUGACCUUCUGAUGCACUGACUGUGUUUCGGCACCUCGGCCCGUUUCGGCAAACGUAUCCGGUACGUCUGCGGGCCGCCGUCUCCAUGGAAACAGCACAUCAUGCGGCUGCAGGAAGCGAUUAGUGCGUGCGGCACGCCGAUCGACGGCCAAGGGGGAGCAGUGUGAGGAGGCCCGUCACGCCGAGCUCCAG
rnacentral:lncRNA from 1 species